rnacentral:lncRNA from 1 species
AGAAAGCAGGAAGAUUGAAAUUUCAUUAAAUUAAAAUCAACAAGAAAAAAAUUCUAGCUGGAAUCCAAAAAUUCAGCUUUAUUGGUACAACAAAAAUGUCAAAUCGGUAUAUAAAGAUAACAAAAAAAAAAAGUAAAAGAAUAACAUAAAAUCAAUACUAUACUAUUUAAUUCAACAAUCUAGCAAAGGCAAGUGACAAGAAAGUGACUGGCAAAGCUGCAAGAACCAAAGAUGGAGCUGAGCCACUUGGUGGUGGUGGUGAAGUGACCGGAGAAUCACCCGAGGGGGCGGAUGGGACGGUGGAGCCAGAUGGCGUGGCGGCGAUGGAAGGCGUGGGGGCGGCGGCGCUGGUGCCGGUGACUUUGAUAGCUAGCUUUUGACCUAAUGAGCAGUGGCUAGGGAAAGUGCACAUGUAGUAAUUUUCACCAGAAUUUGUAAGUGUGAUCCUAGCAGGACCAGUGUUAAUUGUGUUAAUAGUAGAAGUAGUGUUGCAUGAAUCAUAAGCUGCCUUACUAACCAUUGCAACAUUGUGCCUCCCAUUGACAAAAUUGAAAACUGCAUUGAAAAAUAUAAGAAAGGUUAGAAUGUCAGAUCAACAACUAUAAAUAUAGUAAUAGGUAUUUUCAUAAAGAACUACAGUUUAUAGCCUAAUUACCAUACGUAACUGUAGUUUGCUUAAUUGUCAUUCGUAACUAUUGUUCAAUUGUUACCGGCUUAUAUCAUUUGUAUUCAUUCGUUAUCAACACAUAUAAUACACUGAAAUACAGUGAUACAUACAGUUGUUGUAUUAUUGUAUGUGUGACUCCAUACACUGCAUUUACCAUUGUGAUUUUGCUGCAAAAUACAAUUGUAGCUGCAAGUUGUAAUUAUUUCAAAGUGUAUUUAUGUAUGGUAAAUACAGUAGAUAAGUUAGUUACACCAUGUAAUUUUCAUAGAAAUGAGAGUAUUUCAAGAUAAAUGUGAUACAAAAUAUUACUCCUAUUUGAAUUAUAAGCACUAUUGGCACCUCAAAUGUUGGGAGGUUUUAAUGCACGAUGGUAAGUAUAAUCGGGUCAUUUAUAAGGUAAUUAUAGAUAAAUAUUAUGAUAAAUAUUAAUUGAUAACCUGAUAAAAAAUGGUAAACGAAUUCGGGAUAAGUUUUAGUGCUUACCAAGAGUAUCUCCAACUUUGAAGGAUUUGCCAUUAGCCCAAGUUUGAUAAGCAUUUGGGCCACCAGUAGUAGGAACAUUCCAGCCCAUGUUGCCUCCAACAGUAUAAGUUUGGGCUGCAACUGUAGGUGAGGGUGCUGCCGCUGAUGGGGCGGGAGCUGUUGAUGGGUUCGCUGAAGGAGCGGUCACUGGAGUGGCAGUGGGAGGAGUGGUGGGCCUGGCGGCAGCUGGCUGAGGAGCCGGAGAGGCGGAGCCGGCGACAUUGAUAGCCAAUUUCUGGCCCAAUGUACAAUGGCUUGGCAAGGUGCAAAGGUAGUAAUGUGAUCCAGCAGAUCUCAAUGUAAUAUUUGUUGGCCCAUUAGUGGAUAUAGAAAUUGGGUUUGCGGUAUUGCAUG